GAUGAACGCUAGCUAUAGGCUUAACACAUGCAAGUCGAGGGGAAACGGCAUUAUGUGCUUGCACAUUUUGGACGUCGACCGGCGCACGGGUGAGUAUCGCGUAUCCAACCUGCCCUUUACUUGGGGAUACCCCGUUGAAAGACGGCCUAAUACCCGAUGUAGUUCAUUGAUGGCAUCAGAUAUGAAUAAAAGAUUUAUCGGUAAAGGAUGGGGAUGCGUCUGAUUAGCUUGUUGGUGAGGUAACGGCUCACCAAGGCUACGAUCAGUAGGGGUUCUGAGAGGAAGGUCCCCCACAUUGGAACUGAGACACGGUCCAAACUCCUACGGGAGGCAGCAGUGAGGAAUAUUGGUCAAUGGGCGCAAGCCUGAACCAGCCAAGUAGCGUGCAGGAAGACGGCCCUAUGGGUUGUAAACUGCUUUUAUACGAGAAUAAUUUGAUGCACGUGUGCGUUAUUGCAUGUAUCGUAUGAAUAAGGACCGGCUAAUUCCGUGCCAGCAGCCGCGGUAAUACGGAAGGUCCAGGCGUUAUCCGGAUUUAUUGGGUUUAAAGGGAGUGUAGGCGGUUUGUUAAGCGUGUUGUGAAAUUUAGGUGCUCAACAUUUAACUUGCAGCGCGAACUGUCAGACUUGGGUACACGCAACGUAUGCGGAAUUCAUGGUGUAGCGGUGAAAUGCUUAGAUAUCAUGAAGAACUCCGAUUGCGAAGGCAGCAUACGGGAGUGUAACUGACGCUUAAGCUCGAAGGUGCGGGUAUCGAACAGG
rnacentral:rRNA from 1 species